rnacentral:miRNA from 12 species
CUGUACGGCUCACUAGCUUUCC